UACGAAGGGGGCUAGCGUUGCUCGAAUCACUGGGCGUAAAGGGUGCGUAGGCGGGUCUUUAAGUCAGGGGGUGAAAUCCGUGGAGCUCCAACUCCCAGAACUGCCUUUGAUACUGAGGAUCUUGAGUUCCGGGGAGAGGUGAGUGGAACUGCGAGUGUAGAGGUGAAAUUCGUAGAUAUUCGCAAGAACACCAGUGGCGAAGGC
rnacentral:rRNA from 1 species